GACGAACGCUGGCGGCGUGCUUAACACAUGCAAGUCGAACGGAAAGGCCCUGCUUUUGUGGGGUGCUCGAGUGGCGAACGGGUGAGUAACACGUGAGUAACCUGCCCUUGACUUUGGGAUAACAUCAGGAAACUGGGGCUAAUAACGGAUAGGAGCUCCUGCUGCAUGGUGGGGGUUGGAAAGUUUCGGCGGCUGGGGAUGGACUCGCGGCUUAUCAGCUUGUUGGUGGGGUAGUGGCUUACCAAGGCUUUGACGGGUAGCCGGCCUGAGAGGGUGACCGGCCACAUUAGUACUGAGAUACGGCCCAGACUCCUACGGGAGGCAGCAGUGGGGAACAUUGCACAAUGGCCGGAAGCCUGAUGCAGCCACGCCGCGUGCGCGAUGCCGGCCUUCGGGUUGUAAACCGCUUUCGCCUGUGACGAAGCGUGGGUGACGGUAAUGGGUAAAGAAGCACCGGCUAACUACGUG
rnacentral:rRNA from 1 species